rnacentral:tRNA from 1 species
GAGGUUGUGGCUCAGUGGUAGAGUGCUUGUCUUACAUGCAUGAGGCACUAGGUUCAAUCACUAGCACCACA